rnacentral:ncRNA from 1 species
UAUCUUCAGGGCGGGGCGCAAUUCCCCACCGGCGGUAAAGUCCGCGAGCCCAAUCGGGUUGAAUCGGUGAAACUCCGAUACCGACAGUAUAGUCUGGAUGGAAGAAGAU